UACGUAGGGGGCAAGCGUUGUCCGGAAUCAUUGGGCGUAAAGAGCGUGUAGGCGGUCCGGUAAGUCGGCUAUGAAAGUCCAGGGCUCAACCCUGGGAUGCCGGUCGAUACUGCCGGACUAGAGUUCGGAAGAGGCGAGUGGAAUUCCCGGUGUAGCGGUGAAAUGCGCAGAUAUCGGGAGGAACACCAAUGGCGAAGGCAGCUCGCUGGGACGUUACUGACGCUGAGACGCGAAAGCGUGGGGAGCAAACAGG
rnacentral:rRNA from 1 species